AUUGAACGCUGGCGGCAGGCCUAACACAUGCAAGUCGAACGAGUGGCGGACGGGUGAGUAAUGUCUGGGAAACUGCCUGAUGGAGGGGGAUAACUACUGUAAACGGUAGCUAAUACCGCAUACCAUCAGAUGUGCCCAGAUGGGAUUAGCUUGUUGGUGGGGUAACGGCUCACCAAGGCGACGAUCCCUAGCUGGUCGGAGAGGAUGACCAGACAUACUGGCACAGUGACACGGGCCAGAUCCCUGCGGGAAGUAGCAGUGGGGAUUAUUGCACAAUGGGCGCAACCCUGAUGGAUCCAUGCCGCGUGUAAGAAGAAGGCCUUCGGGUUGUAAAGUAAGUUCAGCGGGGAGGCGUUACCCGCAGAAGAAGCACCGGCUAACUCCGUGCCAGCAGCCGCGGUAAUUC
rnacentral:rRNA from 1 species